GGGCCCGCACAAGCAGUGGAGCAUGUGGUUUAAUUCGAUGCAACGCGAAGAACCUUACCAGGCCUUGACAUCCUCGGAACUUUCUAGAGAUAGAUUGGUGCCUUCGGGAACCGAGUGACAGGUGCUGCAUGGCUGUCGUCAGCUCGUGUCGUGAGAUGUUGGGUUAAGUCCCGUAACGAGCGCAACCCUUGUCCUUAGUUGCCAGCACAUUAUGGUGGGAACUCUAAGGAGACUGCCGGUGACAAACCGGAGGAAGGUGGGGACAACGUCAAGUCAUCAUGGCCCUUACGGCCUGGGCUACACACGUGCUACAAUGGCUAGGACAGACGGCCGCUAACCCGCGAGGGGGAGCUAA
rnacentral:rRNA from 1 species